GGCUUCUCCGGAGGCGAUGAAACCUGGUCCCGUACUCGGGCGCUUGGGACAGGUGGAGCCAGUAGCGCGACCGGCCGGAAGAUCC
rnacentral:ncRNA from 1 species